rnacentral:rRNA from 1 species
AUACGUAGGGGGCGAGCGUUGUCCGGAAUGAUUGGGCGUAAAGGGCGCGUAGGCGGCCCGGUAAGUCUGGAGUGAAAGUCCUGUUUUUAAGAUGGGAAUUGCUUUGGAUACUGUCGGGCUUGAGUGCAGGAGAGGUAAGUGGAAUUCCCAGUGUAGCGGUGAAAUGCGUAGAGAUUGGGAGGAACACCAGUGGCGAAGGCGACUUACUGGACUGUAACUGACGCUGAGGCGCGAAAGUGUGGGGAGCAAACAGGAUUAGAUCCCCUGGUAGUCAACGCCGUAAACGAUGAAUACUAGGUGUAGGGGGUAUCGACUCCCUCUGUGCCGCAGUUAACACAAUAAGUAUUCCGCCUGGGGAGUACGGCCGCAAGGUUGAAACUCAAAUGAAUUGACGGGG